UGUGGCUGUUUCUGAGCUCUGGAUUGCUUUAGCGUUAGCCACUCU
ensembl:miRNA